rnacentral:rRNA from 1 species
GCGAACGCUGGCGGCAGGCCUAACACAUGCAAGUCGAACGAACCUUUCGGGGUUAGUGGCGGACGGGUGAGUAACACGUGGGAACGUGCCUUUAGGUUCGGAAUAACUCAGGGAAACUUGUGCUAAUACCGAAUGUGCCCUUCGGGGGAAAGAUUAAUCGCCUUUAGAGCGGCCCGCGUCUGAUUAGCUAGUUGGUUGAGGUAAUGGCUCACCAAGGCGACGAUCAGUAGCUGGUCUGAGAGGAUGAUCAGCCACAUUGGGACUGAGACACGGCCCAAACUCCUACGGGAGGCAGCAGGGGGGAAUCUUGCGCAAUGGGCGAAAGCCUGACGCAGCCAUGCCGCGUGAAUGAUGAAGGUUUUAGGAUUGUAAAAUUCUUUCACCGGGGACGAUAAUGACGGUACCCGGAGAAGAAGCCCCGGCUAACUUCGU